UGGUCAUCUCCCCCUUUCGGCCUUCCUGGAUCUCAGAGAAGUCUGUAAUAGAGUAGAAGAAGGAACUUUAAAAAGACAUUUUACUCCUGAACUAAAUCAAUCUUCGUAGAGUGACGUCAUCAGCUCAUGUGGCUUCAACGCCCAUACCGGCAGCUCGGUGAAGGAUUUCGUAAAAUUCUCCUCUGUUGCGCUACACAAGGCUUCGGCCACAUCGCACAGCCUUGCUACAUCUCCAAUUAUAGAUUUUUGGGCUUCCGUCUGCAAGAGAAGUUCAUUGACAAGAUGCUGGCAAGCGGAGUCCGACGAUUGUUCCGGAGGGACUGGGGAAGUCGUUGUGACUCGGUGUUCGACAAAUGUACCCACUGUUCGAUCUCUUGUUGGUACUUGUGUUUGAGCUUGAGAAGAGCUCUUUUCUUCCUUUGCCGGCGGUUCUGCUCUUCAACGGCCGGAUCCGAUAGUCCCGGUGCCGAAGUAGAGGAAGGAAGGUCGACACGAGGACGUUUCCUAUGUUUGUAGACGAAACCGUCAUCGUUGAUGAGUUCCCACUCAUCGUCAGGUUCCCAGCUCACUGGGGUGGUGGCCAUUGGGCUUCUCCCCCUCGUUCUUUCCUUCAAUUGCCAAGAAGGGUAAAUCAUUUGAAGCUCAAGAACAAUACAAGGAAGCUCUUGUUGCAUUCUCAGUUUCACUCUCCAUAGAGCCAGAUUAUGUACCAAGCAUUGUCUCAAGUGCUGGAGUGCUGAUAAAAUUGGGUAGACAGAAUCUUCCUAUUGCAAGAAGCUUGUUGAUGACUGCUCUCUAACUAGAGCCGACAAACCACCAUGCGUGGUUCCUUCUUGGAGUGCUAUCCAAGUCUCAAGGCUUGAAACAAGCAGCCGCAGAUUACUUCCAAGCUGUACAUGAACUAAAGCUUUCUGCUCCUGUUCAAGACUUUGCUUAACAACGCAUUGAGCACCAAGGUUCCAGAGAUAAAGGAACUUCUAUUUGGAACUUUAAAUGUUGGUUUUGGUUGUUAUAUACUGACAGUGUAGAUAAUUAGUUACAUUAGCUGGUGUUGGUUUUGGCUUUUGAUUAGCUAUGUUAGUACUUGUUGCUGAUUUUAGUUCAACAAAUGAUAUUUGAGCAUUGAUUUUUGCUUUUAAAUUACUACAUGCAUUCUGUUCUUUGGGAUAA